rnacentral:misc_RNA from 1 species
UCUUCUUCUUCUUUUUUUUUUUUGGCUUGUGUAAAACAAGAAUUCAUUCAAAUAUAACCUUCCUUUUUCAUUUUUCCUACCUUUGCUUUUCAAUUAUAAAAUUUGCAAAUUGAUGAGUGUUUUCCCCUCAGCAUGUAUGUUGUUAGUCAGAUUAUUGGGACAUAUCUCAUUGAAUCUCGUAUUCUUUUUGCUGUAAACCUUUCAGGAAUUCGACUAUAGCCAAAACCUUGACUGCAAGCUGUCCAGACCUUUAGCCAAAAUUUUGAGAACAUGGCUGGGAUUGAUGAUAAUGUUGCUAUAAUUGGAGAUUGGGUGCCUCCUAAUCCAAGCCCAAGAUCAUUUUACUCAGCAAUUUUAGGUGAUGACAUCAGCUCAAGAACAAUCCCAGAACCUUCUCGGGAGAAUAGAAUUGAAGGGCUGUUUCCUGGAUCACGAGAGCAGAUGAUAACAGGAAAUACUGACAAAAAGGAUGCAACACAAACUGGUGGUGCUCAGUUUACAGAAUUAGCUCCAUUUUCUGGCCAGAAAUCCAGUUCACGAGGAGGUCUUGUGGAAAGAAUGGCAGCCAGAGCAGGGUUUAAUGCUCCAAGGUUGAACACAGAAAGUAUCAGAUCUGUUGACCUUUCACUGAACCCUGAGAUUCGAUCUCCUUACUUAACAAUACCACCUGGUCUCAGCCCAACAACCUUGUUAGAUUCUCCGGUAUUCCUUUCAAAUUCUUUGGUAAGUUUAGAAUCUUGAAAAUUCUUAGGCAUCAUAUAUGGUUUAUUCCUUUUAACUUUUCAAUUAUUACUUAGUAAUGAAUUGAAUGUGAGAGAUUGUCAAGCACUAAACAUUUGCAAUAAAAUAUAAUACAAUAAGGAGCUUGGAAUUUUAUUUUUAAAGUAGAUCUUAAAUAACAGAUAAUCUAAUAUAAGAAAUGAGCUUAAGAAUGGAAAGAAAAUGCCAGGUCCAUGUAUUAAGGGCUUAAGUCCAUGAUUCUAGUUAGGCCUCUGCAGAAACAUUAUCUAAUAUAUCUAUGAUUUUUCUUCUGUUGAGUUCAGUAUUGAUCACCUGAACAGAACUUCUAGUUGCUGGGUGAGUUUUCUUCUUAUCCAUUCUGCUACAUGCUUCACAGACUUUGCUACUGAUUUAUUACUUAUGUUUCUACUUUAGAUGACAUUAACUACUUGCCCAUGCAAACUUAACAAAUCAAUGGAAGGUUUGAUUACCAGGAUAUUGCCAUAGUAUAUUGCAUCUCCUUGUCCUUAUGUCUAUCUUUUGUGAAAUGGGAUCUUACCAAGUUUGAAGGAAAUUUGAAAACCAAAUCCUUUUAUUCAAAGACACAUUUGUUAUGAUAUUGCUGGUGUAAAACAGUUUUUGUGGCCAUUACUCUGAAGUGUACAAUAAUAUCCUGCAUUUAGGUUUGAUUUGAAAGUAGGUUGACAAGCUGUAAAAUCUACCAUGCACAUGCACCUUUACAUGUUUGGUAAGAAGUAACAGAUGAAAAAUUGAAAUAAAAUUGCUUGUUCUUAUAGUUCAAGUAAUUAAAUAAUUCAUACCAAAGUUGUUAUCCUUUGUCUUGAGCAUCCUUUCAACUCAUCAGUGUCUUGAAUCUCUAAACUUUUCAUUUUGCUAUGGUGAAUAUCAUAUUACUUAAAUUUUACUCUGAAAGUUGAAAUUUGUAGUUUUUCUAUAAUGUGCCAAAUUUUGCUUCUGUACCUAUCAUUCAGGCACAACCAUCUCCAACAACUGGAAAAUUCUCAUUUGUCACAAAUGGUAACAGUAAGAACUCCACAGUGGCUUCUGAGCCUGUUGAUAAAGGUAAAGAUAAUUUCAUUGAAGACUUCAAUGCAUCUUCUUUUGCAUUCAAACCUGUUCCAGACUCAGGAUCCUCUUUUUUCAUUGGUGCAACAAGCAAAGUAAGUACAUAUCUGAGUUCUGCUUUGCUGGAAUUAUAAUUAGGAAAUAUAUAUACAUAUACACAUGAAGAGAUACAGAUUUUGAUUACUGUCCUUGGUCAUUUUUUUAAUUUUAGUAAAUUUCAAAUACUAAAACUACCAAGCCUGAUGAAUAAAGUUAAUAUUGUGUAAAUGAAAGGUUCAGUGAUUAAUUAGUUUUUUGAGCUUGUUUGCCUCCCGAAUGUAUAUAAUUCUAUCCAUUCUUCUCCAGCAAUCCUUUCCCAGUAUUGAGGUUUCAGUCCAUACUGAAAAUUCUCUCCAGUCUCAUGGUGUAGAACCGACCAAAGUCCAGUCUCAGAAUAGAAACACCCUUCAUUUUCCAGUAGACUUCUCCAGAUCAGCAACUGAAGUGGAUAAUGGAGGUAACACUGUGAUGACAGAAAAGAGAGUCUUUGAUACUGCUGGUGGAAGCGGUGAACAUUCCCCAUGUCUUGAUGAGCAACAACAUGAAGGAGACCAAAGAGCCAUUGGAGAUUCCGUAGCUGGUGGUGGCAGUGGGACACCAUCUGAGGAUGGAUAUAACUGGAGAAAAUAU